rnacentral:tRNA from 1 species
AACAAGGUGGCUGAGUGGUGAAGGCAAUGAUCUGCUAAUCCAUUGUUCAUGGGGUUUGUACCUCAUCCUUGUUG